AAAAAACACUUUCCAGAUACUUUUACUUUGUUACGACUAA
rnacentral:rRNA from 1 species